UUCAUGCGUGUGAAGAGUUGGUGCAGGUU
rnacentral:sRNA from 1 species